UCCGUUAUGGUGUAGUGGCUAACAUUAUCGCCUCUCAUGAAUUUGUUUACUGAGGGCCGCGAUAGCCCAGGGUUCGAUUCCCUGUAACGGAA